GGGGCUGCGGGCAACAGGAAAGGGAGAUGCAGAGCUGAGCAGUCAUAACCCCAAAGGGGCAUCUUCCUCCUCUGAGAAACACCCAUGCCCCAAUCUUCAGUAGAAAAGAUCCCACCUGGAGUUCUUCAGGCUUUUUGUUUUCUUUAGGUAGUGAGGACAGGGAAAGAAAGAUGACAAAGCCCAAAAAAACAAGCUUCCUGCUCUCAGUGCAGGUUUUCACUGAGCACCUACUGUGUGCCCAACCCUGUGCUAAGCUCUUUAUGUGCUUCGACUCAUUGAAUCACCGUAACAGCUCCACAAGCUAGGAACAAGCAUGACCCUCACCGUUCAGACAAGAACCUGGAGCUGCAGAGCUGGGACUCUGACACAGAAAAAGUUUGCCGAUUCCUGCACUACAGUGAAACAGAAGGGUGAGUAGAGAGAAUUUGAUAAGUGAUCAGUUCAUUGUGAAGAUUUUCAUGUGAUUCUCUGGUUUCCCUGUGCAACUCUAACUGUGAAGAUUCCAGACAACAUGCCCAGAAAGCCAGAACCCCCCUGUGCUACAUGUCCAGUGGAAAAAAUUUAAGGGAUUUAUCCUACAGAUGGAUUCCUAAGCAUGCAAAAUGACAUAAGCACAAAGUCAUUUAAUUUAUUACAGCAACAGUCUGUGAACCACCGAAACAUCCAGAUAAAGGAGCAGUUAAAUAAAUUAAGGUCACACGAAGGCAUAAAUGCCAUGUAGGCAUAAAAAACAAUGAAGAAAUACUUCUGAUACUGACAUGGAGCAACCUCCAAGAUACAUUAAGGUACAGAAGAAGGUGCACAGUGUGCUAUCACCUGUAUUAGAAAGGAGAGGAACGCUUCCAGAACGGUACAGUAAGGACUGCUGAAAACCCGUUCCUCCAUAAAAGCAACCAGAACACUGGCAACAACUGUCUAAAUCAACUUUUCAGAACUCUG